rnacentral:rRNA from 1 species
GAGGGAAAGUUGAAAAGAACUUUGAAGAGAGAGUUCAAGAGUACGUGAAACCGUUCAGGGGUAAACCUGAGGAACCCAAAAGAUCGAAUGGGGAGAUUCAUCGUCAGCGACACUGACUGCACGAUGGCAAGUGAUGCAACGGGGCUUCGGUCUCGGGGUACGCGGCCAUCGCGUAUGUCCGGCGUCGUCGGCGUGCACUUCUCCCCUAGUAGGACGUCGCGACCCGUUGGGUGCCGGUCUAAGGCCCGGGUGGUAGCCUGUCUCGUCGCUUCGGCGAUCCGAGGCAGACCCCUGGUUGCCAGUCGCCGGCUGCCCGGCGGUACUCGCAUGGUAUCGGGCCGCAAAAUCGAACUGCGUCGGGCCCGUCGCAAGCGCGAUCAGUGUAUCACGGAUGUACGGACCCAGUGCCGUCACCGUGCCUGAUCAGCUGUUGGUUUGACGGUGUUCUCCGACUGGCCAUUGAACGAUGAUGAUACCGGUCAGCGACGCUACUGCUUUGGGUAAUCUCAGGACCCGUCUUGAAACACGG